CCUGGAGAUGAUGGCAACAGGCUGUAACUAUCUUGGAUACAGGAUCCUACCACUUCCUUACCUGGAUGGCUGUGACAAAAUUGGUAAAACAUAAAAGCCUCUUGGAUCCUGCUUAUAGAAUAUCUCUUCCUGCUGGCUGCAAAAGACUUGGACCAGGUCAAACCAUAGACCCUCAAAAGUCCAGAGUAUUGGUCCCUGCACGAAGCGUCUAUACCUUGAGCUGCAGUAUGGUCGUGCUUGAAUUGUUCUGAUACGCAAUGUAGAAGAUGGAGUCGCUCUGCAGGAUAGGCAGU